CGAGUCCGAGGAGCUAAGGCUCCAAAGUGAUGCGAGUCAGACUUCCCAGAAAAGCCCGAACCACGUUCAAAUAAGAAAUGCCUGUACCAUAACCGACACAGGUGGGUGUAGAGUAUACUAAGGGGCGCGAGACAACUCUCUCUAAGGAACUCGGCAAAAUGACUCCGUAACUUCGGGAGAAGGAGUGCCUUAUUUAUAAGGUUGCAAUAACAAGAUCCAAGCAACUGUUUAUCAAAAACACAGGUCUCCGCUAAGUCGUAAGACGAUGUAUGGGGGCUGACGCCUGCCCAGUGCCAGAAGGUUAAAGAAGUUGGUUAGUGUAUGCGAAGCUGAUGACUGAAGCCCUGGUGAACGGCGGCCGUAACAAUAACGGUCCUAAGGUAGCGAAAUUCCUUGUCGGGUAAGUUCCGACCCGCACGAAAGGCGUAAUGAUUUGGAUACUGUCUCGGAGAGAGGCUCGGUGAAAUAGACUUGUCUGUGAAGAUGCGGACUACCUGCACCAGGACAGAAAGACCCUAUGAAGCUUUACUGUAACUUGAAAUUGGAAUUGGACUUUGCUUGCGCAGUAUAGGUGGGAAGCGUUGAAAAUAUUCUUGCGGGAGUAUUGGAGCUAUCAGUGAGAUACCACUCUUGUAAUGUUAGAUUUCUAACUUUGAACCAUAAUCUGGUCAAAGAACAGUUUCAGGUGGGCAGUUUGACUGGGGCGGUCGCCUCCCAAAUGGUAACGGAGGCGUACAAAGGUUUCCUCUGAACGGAUAGAAAUCGUAUCUAGAGUGUAAAGGCAUAAGGAAGCUUGACUGUGAGACCUACAAGUCGAGCAGGGACGAAAGUCGGUCUUAGUGAUCUGACGGUACUGAGUGGAAAGGCCGUCACUCAACGGAUAAAAGUUACUCUAAGGAUAACAGGCUGAUCUCCCCCAAGAGUUCACAUCGACGGGGAGGUUUGGCACCUCGAUGUCGGCUCAUCGCAUCCCGGGGCGGUAGUACGUCCCAAGGGUUGGGCUGUUCGCCCAUGAAAGCGGUACGCGAGCUGGGUUCAGAACGUCGUGAGACAGUUCGGUCCAUAUCCGGUGUAGGCGCUAGAAUAUUGAGAGGAGCCUUCUUUAGUACGAGAGGACCGAGAAGGACACACCGCUGGUGUACCAGUUAUCGUGCCAACGGUAAACGCUGGGUAGCUAUGUGUGGAGUGGAUAACCGCUGAAAGCAUCUAAGUGGGAAGCCCACCUCGAGAUGAGUAUUCGC
rnacentral:rRNA from 1 species